GGCUUUAUAUUCAAUAUAUGAUAUCAAAAUGCAAUUUUGGGGGAGCGAUGAGUUUGAAGGUU
rnacentral:tRNA from 1 species